rnacentral:misc_RNA from 1 species
UUUCCGUAGGUGAACCUGCGGAAGGGUCAUUACUGAGUGAGGGCCCCUCGGGGUCCAACCUCCCACCCGUGUUUAACGAACCUUGUUGCUUCGGCGGGCCCGCCUCACGGCCGCCGGGGGGCAUCUGCCCCCGGGCCCGCGCCCGCCGAAGCCACCUGUGAACGCUGUCAGAAGUAUGCAGUCUGAGACAAUUAUUAAAUUAAUUAAAACUUUCAACAACGGAUCUCUUGGUUCCG